CGAGUCGGCCGGGCGGCCGCGGCAGAGGAACUGGCGAGACAUCGCACGGGCCCGAGUCGAGGAAAGUCCGGACUCCACAGAAGCAGGGUGGUUGCUAACGGCAACCCGGGGUGACCCGCGGGACAGUGCCACAGAGAACAGACCGCCCGGACGCGAAAGCGUGCGGGUAAGGGUGAAACGGUGCGGUAAGAGCGCACCAGCGAUGCGGGUGACCGCAUCGGCUCGGUAAACCCCACCCGGAGCAAGGCCGAAGCGCGGACCGGUGAGAACCGUGUGCGCGUGCGCGAGUGUUUCAGGACUGCUCGUCCGAGCUCGCGGGUCGGCCGCUUGAGGCACCCGGUGACGGUGUGUCCAGAUGGAUGGUCGCCCCCGACCUUCGGGUCGGGACAGGAUCCGGCUUACACGCCGACUCGUUCG
rnacentral:RNase_P_RNA from 3 species